AGAGUUUGAUCAUGGCUCAGGAUGAAUGCUGGCGGCGUGCCUAACACAUGCAAGUCGAGCGGCAGCGAAGGGUGCUUGCACCCUGUCGGCGAGCGGCGGACGGCUGAGUAACGCGUGGGAAUCUACCCUAAAGUGAGGGAUAACCGCCCGAAAGGGUGGCUAAUACCGCAUAUGAUCUUCGGAUUAAAGGAUUUAUCCGCUUUAGGAAGAGCCCGCGUUAGAUUAGGUAGUUGGUAGGGUAAUGGCCUACCAAGCCAACGAUCUAUAGCUGGUCUGAGAGGAUGAUCAGCCAGACUGGAACUGAGACACGGUCCAGACUCCUACGGGAGGCAGCAGUGAGGAAUCUUCCACAAUGGGCGAAAGCCUGAUGGAGCAACGCCGCGUGAAGGAUGAAGGCCUUCGGGUUGUAAACUUCUUUUAUGAGUGAAGAAUAUGACGGUAACUCAUGAAUAAGCACCGGCUAACUACGUGCCAGCAGCCGCGGUCAUACGUAGGGUGCAAGCAUUAUCCGGAGUGACUGGGCGUAAAGAGUUGCGUAGGCGGUUUAAUAAGUGAAUAGUGAAACCUGGUGGCUCAACCAUACAGACUAUUAUUCAAACUGUUAAACUCGAGAGUGGUAGAGGUAACUGGAAUUUCUAGUGUAGGAGUGAAAUCCGUAGAUAUUAGAAGGAACACCAAUAGCGUAGGCAGGUUACUGGACCAUUUCUGACGCUAAGGCACGAAAGCGUGGGGAGCGAACUGGAUUAGAUACCCCGGUAGUCCAA
rnacentral:rRNA from 1 species